GACGAACGCUGGCGGCGUGCUUAACACAUGCAAGUCGAACGGAAAGGCCCUGCUUUUGUGGGGUGCUCGAGUGGCGAACGGGUGAGUAACACGUGUGUAACCUGCCCUUGACUUUGGGAUAACUUCAGGAAACUGGGGCUAAUAUCGGAUAGGAGCUCCUGCUGCAUGGUGGGGGUUGGAAAGUUGCGGCUGUUGGGGCUGGACUCGCGGCUUACCAGCUUGUUGGUGGGGUAGUGGCUUACCAAGGCUUUGACGGGUAGCCGGCCUGAGAGGGUGACCGGCGACAUUAGGACUAAGGUACGGACCAGACUGCUACGGGAGGCAGCAGGGGGGAGUAUUACACAGUGAGCGGAAGCCUGAGGCGGCAGCGCCGCGUGCGGGAUGACGGCCUUCGGGUUAUAAACCGCUUUCGCCUGUGACGAAGCGUGAGUGACGGUAAUGAGUAAAGAAGCACCGGCUAACUACGUG
rnacentral:rRNA from 1 species